UACGCGAGAGCAAUAGAGGUUGGGAUACAUCUAUCUCUUCUGAGCAACCUCUUUUGGAUUCUUAAGACCACCCUUGCAGUAGGAUACCAUCUGCUUUGGGGUGUCUCUCCUCUAGUGGUGUUAUGUGAACGUCGACUACAUGACACUUCACCAUUAUUUGUGCCUAGAGGAAGGCAUUGGGAAGUAAUAAGUAGAUGA
rnacentral:rRNA from 1 species